GUAGGGCCUGAUGUAAACACCCGAGCCGGGCUCCAAGGCCCGGGAGGUCAGAAAACCGGGCCGCGGGCGGCACCGACAGCUGGGGCCCGGGUCAGGGACACGCGGAGGUCAGGCCGGUGAAGGCGGCAGGAAGCUGGAGCACGAUCCCAGGGUUGAGGAACAAUCCUGCACCAUGACUCAACAGCCACUUCGAGGAGUGACCAGCCUGCGUUUCAACCAAGACCAAAGCUGCUUUUGCUGCGCCAUGGAGACAGGUGUGCGCAUCUACAACGUGGAGCCCUUGAUGGAGAAGGGGCAUCUGGACCACGAGCAGGUGGGCAGCAUGGGCUUGGUGGAGAUGCUGCACCGCUCCAACCUUCUGGCCUUGGUGGGCGGUGGUAGUAGUCCCAAGUUCUCAGAGAUCUCAGGUAAGUGCCCUCAUCCUGCCCUUUGGCCCAGAUUUCUCGGAUUCCUGGCCUCCCACAGGCACCCCAAGGUACUGGCAGAUGAAGA
rnacentral:misc_RNA from 1 species